rnacentral:rRNA from 1 species
UUCCAGCCGCCGCGGUAAGACGAAGGGUGCGAGCUUUGUUCGGAAUUCCUGGGCUUAAAUAGCAUGUAGGCGGAUGAAUUAUUCAGAGGUGAAAGCCCCGAGCUCAACUUGGGAACUGCCUUUGAUACUGUUUAUCUAGAGUCCGAGAGAGGUUAGUGGAAUUCCCAGUGUAGAGGUGAAAUUCGUAGAUAUUGGGAAGAACACCAGUGGCGAAGGCGGCUAACUGGCUCGGUACUGACGCUGAGAUGCGAAAGCGUGGGGAGCAAACAGGAUUAGAUA